rnacentral:misc_RNA from 1 species
CCCGCCACACUCACUCUUGGUUUCCCGCCAUCGCCAAUUCCGCGGCGUAAAUAUAUUAGCAACGUUUGUAUGUAAUCGCACCAAAACAGAACAACUACUGUCUCUACUCCUUACCCAAUGGUCGAAGAAAACAAGCUGCCUGAGCUAAAGCUCGAUGCUAAGCAGGCUCAGGGAUUUCUCUCUUUCUUCAAAACCCUACCCUAUGACCCCAGGGCGGUUCGGAUAUUUGAUAGGCGGGACUAUUACACUUCGCAUGGUGAAAAUGCAACCUUCAUUGCAAUGACCUAUUACCAUACUACUACUGCUUUGCGACAAUUGGGUGGUGGAGCUGAUGGCCUUUCCAGUGUGAGCAUUAAUAAGAACAUGUUUGAAACAAUUGCCCGAGACCUUCUAUUGGAGAGAACAGACCAUACUCUUGAACUCUAUGAGGGUAGUGGGUCCAACUGGAGACUGGCGAAAAGUGGGACUCCUGGCAAUCUAGGCAGUUUUGAAGAUGUUUUGUUUGCCAACAACGAAAUGCAGGAUUCCCCUGUGGUUGUUGCACUCAUUCCAAAUUUCCGUGAAAAUGGUUGCACUGUUGGUUUAAGUUAUAUCGAUUUAACAAAAAGAAUUAUUGGGUUGGCCGAAUUUGUUGAUGAUAGUCACUUUACAAAUGUGGAGUCAGCUUUGGUUGCUCUUGGUUGCAAGGAAUGCCUUUUGCCCGCAGAAACUGGUAAAUCCAGUGAGUGUAGAACAUUGCAUGAUGCCCUGACUAGAUGUGGUGUGAUGUUGACUGAGAGAAAGAAAAGUGAGUUCAAAACAAGGGAUUUGGUGCAGGAUCUUGGUAGGCUCGUCAAAGGUUCCAUUGAACCAGUUCGAGAUUUAGUUUCUGGAUUUGAAUUUGCACCUGGUGCUUUAGGGGCAUUACUUUCUUAUGCAGAAUUACUUGCAGGUGAGAGCAAUUAUGGAAAUUAUACAAUCAGAAGGUACAAUCUUGACAGUUAUAUGAGGCUGGAUUCUGCUGCCAUGAGGGCUCUUAAUGUCCUUGAAAGCAAAACUGAUGCAAAUAAAAAUUUUAGUUUAUUUGGCCUCAUGAAUAGAACAUGUACAGCUGGGAUGGGAAAAAGGUUGCUUCAUAUGUGGCUAAAACAGCCCUUGCUGGAUGUAAAUGAAAUCAACUCUAGACUGGACUUGGUACAGGCUUUUGUGGAAGAUACUGCCCUUCGCCAAGACCUAAGGCAACAUCUAAAAAGGAUCUCGGAUAUUGAGCGACUGAUGCGCAAUCUUGAGAAGAAAAGAGCUGGUUUGCAGCAUAUUGUAAAACUUUAUCAGUCGAGUAUAAGACUCCCAUACAUUAGAAGUGCUCUGGAGCGGUAUGAUGGACAAUUUUCAUCCUUAAUCAAGGAAAGGUAUUUGGAUCCCCUUGAGUCAUUGACUGAUGAUGAUCACUUGAAUAAGUUCGUUGCUCUGGUAGAAGCUUCUGUUGACCUUGAUCAACUUGAGAAUGGGGAGUAUAUGAUUUCACCAAAUUAUGACCCUGCACUAUCUGCACUGAAAGAUGAACAAGAGUCAUUGGAGCGCCAAAUACACAAUUUGCAUAAACAAACUGCAAAUGAUCUUGAUCUUCCUCAAGAUAAAGGAUUAAAGUUAGAUAAAGGAACACAAUUUGGACAUGUCUUCAGAAUUACAAAGAAAGAAGAGCCAAAAAUAAGGAAAAAGCUGACCACCCAAUUUAUUGUCCUUGAAACCCGAAAGGAUGGAGUAAAAUUCACAAACACAAAACUUAAGAAGUUAGGGGAUCAGUACCAAAAGAUAGUAGAGGAAUACAAGAAUUGUCAGAAAGAGCUGGUCAAUCGAGUCAUUCAAACUGCAGCAACUUUUUCUGAGGUGUUUGAGUCUUUAGCUGGCAUGCUUUCUGAAUUGGAUGUCUUACUCAGUUUUGCUGAUUUGGCUUCUAGUUGUCCAACUCCCUACACAAGACCUGACAUCUCACCAUCAGAUGUGGGAGAUAUUAUAUUAGAAGGGAGUAGACAUCCUUGUGUGGAAGCUCAAGACUGGGUUAAUUUUAUACCAAAUGAUUGCAAACUUGUCAGGGGAAAGAGUUGGUUCCAAAUAAUCACAGGGCCUAAUAUGGGUGGAAAAUCCACAUUUAUUCGGCAAGUUGGUGUGAAUAUUCUUAUGGCGCAAGUUGGUUCCUUUGUUCCUUGUGACAAGGCUAGUAUUUCAGUUCGUGAUUGCAUUUUUGCUCGUGUGGGUGCUGGUGACUGCCAACUUCGUGGAGUUUCUACCUUUAUGCAAGAAAUGCUUGAAACUGCUUCAAUACUGAAAGGAGCUACAGAUAAGUCAUUGAUAAUCAUUGAUGAGUUAGGCCGUGGGACAUCAACUUAUGAUGGAUUUGGUUUAGCUUGGGCUAUAUGUGAACACCUUGUUCAAGUGAUUAAAGCACCUACAUUAUUUGCAACCCACUUUCAUGAACUGACUGCCUUAGCUGAUGAAAAAGCCGAGUCCCAUACAAAGCAUAUUGUUGGUGUGGCAAAUUAUCAUGUUAGUGCACACAUUGACUCGUCAAAUUGCAAGCUGACGAUGCUUUACAAGGUUGAACCAGGGGCUUGUGAUCAAAGUUUUGGUAUUCAUGUUGCAGAAUUUGCAAAUUUUCCUAAAAGUGUUGUUGCUCUUGCUCGAGAAAAGGCAGCUGAGUUGGAAGAUUUCUCACCUAAUGCUAUUUUUUCAAAUGACACUGCAGAAAAGGUGCGUUUUAGUGAUCUUGCAGUGCCAUUGGGAGGACAAUUGCUUUAAAAUGCAUAUGAUGAUGGGUAGGAACAUUGUAAUUAUUGUUGUAGUUGAUGCUUUGGGAAAUGUCAAGUGUUUGAAGUUUCAUACUACUCUAGACUGCCAUAUUAUUUUUAUCCUAAAAGGCAAGUAUUGAGCCCUGGGUUCAUCCAAACCCCUAAUCCACCCUUUACUGCAUGACCCAAGGCCACAGGAGGCACUUUGGAUACUUUACAAAUUAUUAAGACCAAUGAGCUAGAGGCACCACUUAAGUUCUAGCAAAGAGUCAAGUUGAUUCACUUGGUUAAAGAAAGUGCAGGUAGAGAACAAAAAUAGAAAUUUGAGAUUUCAGUAAAUAUGAAACAGGCAAUUUUAUGUCUUAAAUUUAUAUUUUUUGAGGUUGCUCUCUAUAGAGAUAGUAGGAGCUAUGUGGUGACAAUUUGUGCAAUUGGUUAAAUCAUUUUCAAAGCUUCCAUCUCAGUAAGCUUAAGCUUUCAAAGGUGAAACUGUUAUGCUACUUGCUAUGCAAUCUUAAUUCUUAAUUGUAUGAAUUGCAAGAACUUUUGUUUUUUGUAAGGUUUUACAUGAUGGAACAAUUUGCUUUUGGUUUUUGGUUGCUGAUAACAAAUUUUCCCACUCUGGAAAGCUUACCAAGGUAUAACAUUUUAAAAUUUGAAAUGUUUUUGUUUAUGCAUUUAACUCUUGGUCCGAGAAAGGUUUUAGCAGUAGAUGGUCGACACACACAGUUGGACAAUGUGUAAAUUGUAAUGUGCCAAGUGUCCAGAAAAGAAUAUUGAUUACUGAAAGAUUACAAACCACUCCUUUCAUGAGCAAUUUGACCAAAUUACGUGUCUUUAGCUCUUUCAUGUGUCAAAGAUUUGCACUUGUGAUCUGACCUUGAGAAGUUGAAGAAAAAGUAAUUCAUGCCAUAUAAUGACAGCAUUAUAUUACUCUCAAAGUAUUGAUUUUGUUGAAUAUGAUUUACAGGUGGGAUCCAAACGAAAAAGAUCCUGUGAUCUCGAGGACAUGUCUAGGGGUGCAGCUCAUGCUCACCGGUUUCUGAAAGCGUUCUCUGAUUUGCCACUAGAGACUAUGGAUUUGAAGGAGGCUCUGCACCAAGUAAGCAAGCUGAAGAAUGACUUGGAGAGGGAUGCAGCAAAUUGCCGCUGGCUCAAGCAAUUUUUCUAGUUGUCCUUGCAACAACACAGGUAGCAGUAUUUGCAUGUUGGAUGUUUUAUAAGGUCGAUGAAAGUAUCAGGCACUAAAAUGCUCCACUUCCCUCCAAUUUUGUGUGAAUAAAGU